rnacentral:ncRNA from 1 species
CCGCUAUUUACAGCAUCAGCUGAUCACUGAUGGCUCAACUGUAGAUGGUAGACAACUAAAUACUGUAGCUGCCUUUUGAGCGGGCUUGCUGCAAUCCGAAACGGAGUAAUUCGUUUGGACUGCGGUUGGUUACUUGCACCCAUUUUGCGGCUACCUU